ensembl:misc_RNA Y_RNA Y RNA
GGCUGGUCCAAAUGCAGUGGUGUCUACAACAAAUUGAUCAUAACCAGUUACAAAUGCAUUGGUUCCUUUUCCAUUCCCACUGCUUCACUUACUAGCCCUAA